GCCACUGCUAUUGGGGUUCGGCUAAGCCAUGCGAGUGGAGGGCGUCCCGCAAGGGAUGGCCCCGCAGACGGCUCAGUAACACGUCGUCAACCCACCUUAGGGUGGGGGACAACCUCGGGAAACUGAGGAUAAUCCCCCAUAGGCGGGGGAGGCUAGAAUGCGCCCCCGCUGAAAGCUCAGGCGCCCUAGGAUGGGACUGCGGCCCAUCAGGCCUGUUGGUGGUGUGACG
rnacentral:rRNA from 1 species